rfam:Alligator mississippiensis ScZkoYb_53, whole genome shotgun sequence.
GGGGGUAUAGCUCAGUGGUAGAGCAUUUGACUGCAGACCAAGAGAUUCCCCAGUUCAAAUCUGGGUGCUACCU